GUAGGUGGCAAGCGUUGUCCGGAAUUAUUGGGCGUAAAGCGCGCGCAGGCGGUUCUUUAAGUCUGAUGUGAAAGCCCACGGGCUCAACCGUGGAGGGUCAUUGGAAACUGGAGAACUUGAGUACAGAAGAGGAAAGCGGAAUUCCACGUGUAGCGGUGAAAUGCGUAGAGAUGUGGAGGAACACCAGUGGCGAAGGCGGCUUUCUGGUCUGUAACCGACGCUGAGGCGCGAAAGCGUGGGGAGCAAACAGGAUUAGAUACCCUGGUAGUCCAGGCCGUAAACGAUGAGUGCUAAGUGUUAGGGGGUUUCCGCCCCUUAGUGCUGCAGCUAACGCAUUAAGCACUCCGCCUGGGGAGUACGGCCGCAAAGGCUG
rnacentral:rRNA from 1 species